rnacentral:rRNA from 1 species
AUUGAACGCUGGCGGCAUGCUUUACACAUGCAAGUCGAACGGCAGCGCAGGCUUCGGCCUGGCGGCGAGUGGCGAACGGGUGAGUAAUACAUCGGAACGUGCCCAGUAGUGGGGGAUAGCUCGGCGAAAGCCGGAUUAAUACCGCAUACGACCUGAGGGUGAAAGCGGGGGAUCUUCGGACCUCGCGCUAUUGGAGCGGCCGAUGGCAGAUUAGCUAGUUGGUGGGGUAAAGGCCUACCAAGGCGACGAUCUGUAGCUGGUCUGAGAGGACGACCAGCCACACUGGGACUGAGACACGGCCCAGACUCCUACGGGAGGCAGCAGUGGGGAAUUUUGGACAAUGGGCGAAAGCCUGAUCCAGCAAUGCCGCGUGUGUGAUGAAGGCCUUCGGGUUGUAAAGCACUUUUGGCGGGAACGAAAAGGACUGUGCCAAUACCACGGUUCGAUGACGGUACCCGCAGAAUAAGCACCGGCUAACUACGUG